rnacentral:lncRNA from 1 species
UCCGAAAGCUGCAGUGGCUGGGACUCCAGUUCUACUAGGUGGAUCACAGGUCACCUGAGGGCCCUGGCCAGGUGGACCCUCCCUCUCACCAGCUGCCCUUGAGCUUCAGAGGGUCAGGGUCUGCAUUCUGGAAGGGACACACAGCUGGAGGCAGCACCCCAAAGGGGCCGAGGGACAUCCUCCCUUGGGGAUGCUGUGUCUGGAAGGGCUGGGGGACAGCGGGGGGCCCCUGGUGUGUCAAGAGAGGAGGCUGUGGAAGUUAGUGGGAGCGACCAGCUUUGGCAUCGGCUGCGCAGAGGUGAACAAGCCUGGGGUGUACACCCGUGUCACCUCCUUCCUGGACUGGAUCCACGAGCAGAUGGAGAGAGACCUAAAAACCUGAAGAGGAAGGGGACAAGUAGCCACCUGAGUUCCUGAGGUGAUGAAGACAGCCCGAUCCUCCCCUGGACUCCCGUGUAGGAACCUGCACACGAGCAGACACCCUUGGAGCUCUGAGUUCCGGCACCAGUAGCAGGCCCGAAAGAGGCACCCUUCCAUCUGAUUCCAGCACAACCUUCAAGCUGCUUUUUGUUUUUUGUUUUUUUGAGAUGGAGUCUCGCUCUGUUGCCCAGGCUGGAGUGCAGUGGCGAAAUCCCUGCUCACUGCAGCCUCCGCUUCCCUGGUUCAAGCGAUUCUCUUGCCUCAGCUUCCCCAGUAGCUGGGACCACAGGUGCCCGCCACCACACCCAACUAAUUUUUGUAUUUUUAGUAGAGACAGGGUUUCACCAUGUUGGCCAGGCUGCUCUCAAACCCCUGACCUCAAAUGAUGUGCCUGCUUCAGCCUCCCACAGUGCUGGGAUUACAGGCAUGGGCCACCACGCCUAGCCUCACGCUCCUUUCUGAUCUUCACUAAGAACAAAAGAAGCAGCAACUUGCAAGGGCGGCCUUUCCCACUGGUCCAUCUGGUUUUCUCUCCAGGGGUCUUGCAAAAUUCCUGACGAGAUAAGCAGUUAUGUGACCUCACGUGCAAAGCCACCAACAGCCACUCAGAAAAGACGCACCAGCCCAGAAGUGCAGAACUGCAGUCACUGCACGUUUUCAUCUCUAGGGACCAGAACCAAACCCACCCUUUCUACUUCCAAGACUUAUUUUCACAUGUGGGGAGGUUAAUCUAGGAAUGACUCGUUUAAGGCCUAUUUUCAUGAUUUCUUUGUAGCAUUUGGUGCUUGACGUAUUAUUGUCCUUUGAUUCCAA